rnacentral:rRNA from 1 species
UACAGAGGGUGCGAGCGUUGUCCGGAAUCAUUGGGCGUAAAGGGCGCGUAGGCGGCGCGGUAAGCGUGCGGUGAAAGCCCGGGGCUCAACCCCGGGUCGGCCGUGCGGACUGCCGGGCUGGAGCACUGUAGAGGCAGGUGGAAUUCCGGGUGUAGCGGUGGAAUGCGUAGAGAUCCGGAAGAACACCGGUGGCGAAGGCGGCCUGCUGGGCAGUAGCUGACGCUGAAGCGCGACAGCGUGGGGAGCAAACAGG